GGCUCAGGACUAGCGCUGGCGGUGUGUCUUAGACAUGCAAGUCGGGCGGGAUACAUUGUUGUAGCAAUACACUGGUGUGUCUAGCGGCGAACGGGUGAGCAAUACAAGGGCAACUAUCCCUAAGGAGGGGCACAACCCACCGAAAGGUGGGCUAAUACCCCAUGUUUUGCGGCGGAGGCAUCUCUGCCGUAACAAAGGCGCCGCAAGGUGCCGCCUCUGGACAGGCUCUUGUCCUAUCAGCUUGAUGGCGGGGUAACGGCCCACCAUGGCAGCGACGGGUAGCCGGCGUGAGAGCGUGACCGGCCACAGGGGAACUGCGAUACGGUCCCCACUCCUACGGGAGGCAGCAGUCUAGAAAUUUGGGCAAUGGGCGAAAGCCUGACCCAGCGACACCGCGUGGAGGAUGAAGUCUUUCGGGAUGUAAACUCCUGACAGGCGGAGCGAUGCCGUUUCGGAGUAACUGCCGAGACGGUGACGGUACUGCCAAAGGAAGCCCCGGCUAACUACGUGCCAGCAGCCGCGGUAAUACGUAGGGGGCAAGCGCUGUCCGGAUUCACUGGGCGUAAAGGGUGUGUAGGCGGACUGGCGUGUCGGUGGUGAAAGCCCUCGGCUUAACCGAGGAAGUGCUGCCGAAACUACCAGUCUUGAGGACGGAAGAGGAAACUGGAACUUCUGGUGUAGCGGUAAAAUGCGUAGAUAUCAGAAGGAACGCCGAUAGCGAAGGCAGGUUUCUGGGACGUUCCUGACGCUGAAACACGAAAGCUAGGGGAGCAAACAGGAUUAGAUACCCUGGUAGUCCUAGCUGUAAACGAUGUACAUUAGGCGUGGGGAUUUUCCCCGUGCCGGAGCCAACGCGUUAAAUGUACCGCC
rnacentral:rRNA from 1 species